rnacentral:rRNA from 1 species
UUUUUAUUGUUCUAAAUUAUAUAGGAAGACCCGCUGAACUGAAA